GUCCACGCCGUAAACGAUGGUCACUAGAUGUGGGGGUGUCGACUCCCUCCGUGUCGUAGCUAACGCGUUAAGUGACCCGCCUGGGGAGUACGGCCGCAAGGCUAAAACUCAAAGGAAUUGACGGGGACCCGCACAAGCAGCGGAGCAUGUGGAUUAAUUCGACGCAACGCGAAGAACCUUACCUGGGCUUGACAUACUGCUGACCGGCAUGGAAACAUGCCUUUCCUUCGGGACAGCAAUACAGGUGGUGCAUGGCUGUCGU
rnacentral:rRNA from 1 species